AUUGAACGCUGGCGGCAGGCCUAACACAUGCAAGUCGAGCGGCAGCGGGAAAGUAGCUUGCUACUUUUGCCGGCGAGCGGCGGACGGGUGAGUAAUGCCUGGGAAAUUGCCCAGUCGAGGGGGAUAACAGUUGGAAACGACUGCUAAUACCGCAUACGCCCUACGGGGGAAAGCAGGGGACCUUCGGGCCUUGCGCGAUUGGAUAUGCCCAGGUGGGAUUAGCUUGUUGGUGAGGUAAUGGCUCACCAAGGCGACGAUCCCUAGCUGGUCUGAGAGGAUGAUCAGCCACACUGGAACUGAGACACGGUCCAGACUCCUACGGGAGGCAGCAGUGGGGAAUAUUGCACAAUGGGGGAAACCCUGAUGCAGCCAUGCCGCGUGUGUGAAGAAGGCCUCGGUU
rnacentral:rRNA from 1 species